rnacentral:rRNA from 1 species
GGGUUGUGAGGUUAAGCGACUAAGCGUACACGGUGGAUGCCCUGGCAGUCAGAGGCGAUGAAGGACGUGCUAAUCUGCGAUAAGCGCCGGUAAGGUGAUAUGAACCGUUAUAACCGGCGAUUUCCGAAUGGGGAAACCCAGUGUGAUUCGUCACACUAUCAUUAACUGAAUCCAUAGGUUAAUGAGGCGAACCGGGGGAACUGAAACAUCUAAGUACCCCGAGGAAAAGAAAUCAACCGAGAUUCCCCCAGUAGCGGCGAGCGAACGGGGAGGAGCCCAGAGCCUGAAUCAGCAUGUGUGUUAGUGGAAGCGUCUGGAAAGGCGCGCGAUACAGGGUGACAGCCCCGUACACAAAAGCGCAUAUGCUGUGAGCUCGAUGAGUAGGGCGGGACACGUGGUAUCCUGUCUGAAUAUGGGGGGACCAUCCUCCAAGGCUAAAUACUCCUGACUGACCGAUAGUGAACCAGUACCGUGAGGGAAAGGCGAAAAGAACCCCGGCGAGGGGAGUGAAAAAGAACCUGAAACCGUGUACGUACAAGCAGUGGGAGCCUCUUUUAUGGGGUGACUGCGUACCUUUUGUAUAAUGGGUCAGCGACUUAUAUUCUGUAGCAAGGUUAACCGUAUAGGGGAGCCGGAGGGAAACCGAGUCUUAAC